rnacentral:rRNA from 1 species
AUGUCUCUCGCCGUGAUCCUUCUCGGGCUUCUCUUGUCAUCGCAUCUCUCCGCGUGUGGUGCUGCGAUGGACACCCUUGCAUCCGGCCAAGUACUUGCGGGAAACAACACCAUCAUCUCCAGCAACGGCAAGUUUGCACUCGGCUUCUUCCAGACAGGCAGUAAGUCGUCCCAAAACACCCUCAACUGGUAUCUAGGCAUAUGGUUCAACAAGGUCCCCAAGCUAACUCCAGUAUGGGUCGCCAAUGGUGAAAACCCAAUCAUAGACCCUGCCUCAUCGAUGCUAACAAUCAUCAGUGAUGGCAAUCUUGUCAUCUUGAACCAAGCCACCAAAUCCACAAUCUGGUCUGCCCAAACAAAUGCCACAACCAACGACACCAUCGCAAUACUGUUGAACAAUGGCAACUUCAUCUUGCAGAGUUCCUCAAACUCAUCUAAUGUGUUGUGGCAGAGCUUUGACUACCCCACUGAUACUCUCCUCCCUGGCAUGAAACUGGGUUGGGACAAAGUCACUGGUUUGAACCGUCGUCUAGUUUCUAGGAAAAAUUCCAUUGACCUAGCUCCCGGAAGAUACAUCGACCAGUUAGACCCAAAUGGUACAGAUCAGUUCAUAUAUACACUAAGGGACUCAUCCAUACCAUAUUGGUCGAGUGGGAUAUGGAACGGCCAGUACUUCCCCUCGGCGAUGAGUAUGAUGGCGUACAAAAACUAUAUGAAUUUUACAUUUGUCAACAAUGACCAAGAGAAGUACUUCACAUAUGACGAAUCACAUGAGUUAUUUGGAAAAUUCAGAAAAAAACAUGAGUUAUUUCGUUACUAUCAUACUGUGUUGGAUGUCUCGGGUCAAACAAAGUCACUCAUUUGGGUUGAAAGCUCAGAGGGUUGGGGAAUGGUCUAUGCUCUCCCCAUGCUUCAGUGUGAUGUGUUUGAUGUUUGCGGGCCUUUCACCACUUGUAAUGAUUAUACCCUUCCAUUCUGCAAAUGUAUGAAGGGCUUCUCCAUUAGAUCACCAAAAGAUUGGGAGCUAGAUGAACGAACAGGAGGUUGUGUGAGAAAUACUCCAUUAAAUUGUGGGAUCAGCAAAACCAUAAGUAUACAAGACAUGUUCCACCCUAUUACCUGUGUUGUAUUACCCAAUAAUGGCAACAAUAUAGAGGAUGCUAGGAAUGCAGAUAGAUGUGCACAAGUUUGUCUAGGAGAUUGCACUUGCACUGCAUACUCCUAUGACAACAAUGAAUGCUUUGUUUGGAAUGGCGAGUUAAUAAAUAUGAUACAAAAACAAUGCAAUGACACUGUUAAUAGUAAUAUAGCCACUCUUUACCUUCGCCUUGCCGCCAAAGAAGUGCAAACGAGCUUGGACAACAACAACAACAGAAGAUCAUUGAUCAUUAGAGUGUGCGUUGGUGCAAGUUUUGCAUUCUUUGGUCUAUUGUCACUCUUCUUUCUGUUAAUGAUUAGGAGAAGAAGGAGGUUGUCUGCUCACAGGAUGAUUUUUCCUGAAGACAGUGUCGGCAUUACUUCAUUCAGAUACCUUGACUUGCAACAUGCAACAAAAAACUUCUCAGAGAAGCUAGGGGCAGGUGGUUUUGGUUCUGUAUUCAAGGGGUUUCUAAAUGAUUCUUGUGCCAUAGCAGUUAAAAGGCUCGAUGGUUCUCGUCAAGGAGAGAAGCAAUUCAGAGCUGAAGUGAGGUCAAUUGGAAUCAUUCAACAUAUCAAUUUAGUUAAACUGAUUGGCUUUUGUACUGAUGGGGAUAGUAGAUUGCUUGUCUAUGAACUCAUGCAAAAUCGUUCUCUUGAUUGUCAUUUAUUUGAGAGUAAUCAUACCGAAAUGGAAUUGACAUGGACCAUAAGGUAUCAGAUAGCUCUUGGAGUUGCUAGAGGAUUGGCAUACUUGCAUGAUAGUUGCCAGGAUUGCAUUAUACAUUGUGAUAUUAAGCCUGAGAACAUACUUCUUGAUGCUUCAUUUGUUCCGAAAAUAGCAGAUUUUGGGAUGGCGAAGUUUCUUGGAAGGGAUUUCAGUCGAGUUCUCACAACAAUGAGAGGAACUAUAGGAUAUCUUGCGCCUGAAUGGAUUAGCGGAACUGUUAUUACAGCAAAAGUUGAUGUCUACAGCUAUGGCAUGAUUUUGAUGGAACUCAUAUCAGGAAGAAGAAACUCAGGUGGAAACAGUGCUUCUGAUAUUGAUGAUGUUUAUUUUCCUGUGCUAGUUGCAAAUAAGCUACAAAAGGGUGAUGUGGCGGGUUUGGUGGACCAGAAUUUACGUGGUGAUGUCAGUUUGAAUCAGGUGGAAAGAGCUUUCAAGGUUGCUUGUUGGUGCAUUCAAGAUCAUGAGUUUGAUCGGCCCAAGAUGGCUGAAGUUGUUCAAUAUCUGGAAGGUUUUGUUGAAGUUGACAUACCACCGGUGCCAAGAUUUCUUCAAGCUAUUGCAGGGAAUCCACGCUGA